rnacentral:rRNA from 1 species
AACAGGAUUAGAUACCCUGGUAGUCCACGCCCUAAACGAUGUCUACUAGUUGUUGGUGGAGUAAAAUCCAUGAGUAACGCAGCUAACGCGUGAAGUAGACCGCCUGGGGAGUACGGUCGCAAGAUUAAAACUCAAAGGAAUUGACGGGGGCCCGCACAAGCGGUGGAUUAUGUGGACUAAUUCGAUGCAACGCGAAAAACCUUACCUGGCCUUGACAUGCCACUAACGAAGCAGAGAUGCAUUAGGUGCCCGUAAGGGAAAGUGGACACAGGUGCUGCAUGGCUGUCGUCGGCUCGUGUCGUGAGAUGUUGGGUUAAGUCCCGCAACGAGCGCAACCCUUGCCAUUAAUUGCCAUCAUUUAGUUGGGCGCUUUAAUGGGACUGCCGGUGACAAACCGGAGGAAGGUGGGGAUGACGUCAAGUCCUCAUGGCCCUUAUGGCCAGGGCUUCACACGUAAUACAAUGGUCGGUACAGAGAGUUGCCAACCCGCGAGGGGGAGCUAAUCUCAGAAAGCCGAUCGUAGUCCGGAUUGUUCUCUGCAACUCGAGAGCAUGAAGUCGGAAUCGCUAGUAAUCGCGGAUCAGCAUGUCGCGGUGAAUACGUUCCCGGGCCUUGUACACACCGCCCGUCACACCAUGGGAGUGGGUUUUACCAGAAGUAGGUAGUCUAACCGCAAGGGGGACGCUUACCACGGUAGUAUUCAUGACUGGGGUGAAGUCGUAACAAGGUAACC